AACGAACGCUGGCGGCAUGCCUUACACAUGCAAGUCGAACGCGAAAGUGUCUUCGGACAUUAGUAGAGUGGCAAACGGGUGAGUAACGCGUGGGAAUCUACCUUAUAGUACGGGAUAGCCUCGGGAAACUGGGAUUAAUACCGUAUACUCCCUUCGGGGGAAAGAUUUAUCGCUAUAAGAUGAGCCCGCGUCAGAUUAGCUAGUUGGUGGGGUAAAAGCCUACCAAGGCAACGAUCUGUAGCUGGUCUGAGAGGACGAUCAGCCACCCUGGGACUGAGACACGGCCCAGACUCCUACGGGAGGCAGCAGUGGGGAAUAUUGGACGAUGGACGCAAGUCUGAUCCAGCAAUGCCGCGUUAAUGAUGAAGGCCUUAGGGUUGUAAACCGCUUUUGUCAGGGAAGAAAUCUUCUGGACUAAUACUCUGGGAGGAUGACGGUACCUGAAGAAUAAGCACCGGCUAACUACGUGCCAGCCGCCGCAGUAA
rnacentral:rRNA from 1 species